rnacentral:rRNA from 1 species
GACAAACGCUGGCGGCAUGCCUAACACAUGCAAGUCGAACGGACAGAACAGGGAAGCUUUUCGGAGUGGAACUGGAAAGUUAGUGGCGGAUGGGUGAGUAACGCGUGGACAACCUACCUUGUAAAGGGGAAUAACCUCGAGAAAUCGAAGCUAAUACCCCAUAAUAACCUUGCUUCGCAUGAAGUAAGGAGGAAAGGCGGCCUUAGCGCUGUCGAUACAAGAUGGGUCCGCGUCUGAUUAGCUAGUUGGUGAGGUAAAGGCUCACCAAGGCGACGAUCAGUAGCCGGCCUGAGGGGGUGAACGGCCACAUGGGGAGUGAGACACGGCCCAAACUCCUGCGGGGGGCAGCAGUGGGGAAUCUUCCGCGAUGGGGGAAAGGCGGACGGAGCAAUGCCGCGUGAGUGAAGAAGGCCUUAGGGUUGUAAAACUCUGUCGUUAUCGAAGAGAGAGUGUUGUAGUAACUGACAAGACUAGGACGGUAGAUGAGGAGGAAGCCCCGGCUAACUAUGUG